UUAUCUCUUUUACACAACAUCUACUUAGAGUUAAGGUAGUGUAAAAUCCUACGAAAAUAUUACAUGUCUUUGGGAUCAUCAUCUUAAUUUGAUCUUAUCGGAAGAUUCUACUCCGAGUCCUCAUGAAGAUUCUCUUCCGGGUUUUCCUCCUCCUGAGAUUUUUUUUCUUUGCUCCUCAAUCCAGGCUUGUUGUAUUCUCCUAUAUUCUUCAUCACUCACCGGUGCAGCAUUUCUUCCACAACCGGGAGGAAAAUGUCGUACACCUGACACUUUUCUAAGGGGUUUACUCGCCACUGUUACUUUCUCCUUAUCCUUUUCUAGUUGUCCCCUUACAUUUCUCCCACAGCCUAGUGGAAAGUGUCAGACUACUGUCACGCUCUUCCUAGAACGAAUAUAUCCCCUUGCAAUUUCUUCCCUCGUCCAUUCUCUAUGGUGCUCUCUAGGUUGUUUCGAAAGGAAAUCUUGUUCAAUUUUCGGUGUAUUGGAG
rnacentral:lncRNA from 1 species